rnacentral:rRNA from 1 species
UACGUAGGGGGCAAGCGUUGUCCGGAAUCAUUGGGCGUAAAGCGCGCGUAGGCGGCCCUGUAAGUCCGUUGUGAAAGUCAAAGGCUCAACCUUUGAAAGCCGAUGGAUACUGCAGGGCUAGAGUCCGGAAGAGGCGAGUGGAACUCCUGGUGUAGCGGUGGAAUGCGCAGAUAUCAGGAAGAACACCAACGGCGAAGGCAGCUCGCUGGGACGGUACUGACGCUGAGACGCGAAAGCGUGGGGAGCGAACAGG